rnacentral:tRNA from 1 species
GGUGCGUUAGCUCAGUCGGCAGAGCGUGGUGCUAAUAACGCUAAGGUCAUGGGUUCGAGCCGCAUACGGACCA